GAGGAGAGCAGUCAGGUGCACUGUAGUCCCUCUUACGCAGGAGUCUGAGGCAAGAGGAUUGCUUGAAGCCAGGAGUUCUGGGCCAUAGCAUGCUAUGCUGUUUGGGUUUCUGCACUAAUUUCAGCAUUAAUAUGGUGACUUCCCAGGAACAGGGAACUACCAGAUUGCCUAAGGAGAGGUGAACUAGCCCAGGUGGGAAACAGAGCAGGUCAAAACUCUUGUGCUAACUAGUAGUAGAAUAGCACCUGUGAAUAGUCACUACACUCCAGCCUGGGCAACACAGUGAGUCCCCAUCUCU
rnacentral:SRP_RNA from 1 species